rnacentral:lncRNA from 1 species
AAGAGCGGAGGUUGCUGCGACACAGCCGGACGGUGUUUUUCCACCGCCUCGUUGCCUCACGUUUGGUAUCCCUCCGCGCUGCGUGUGUCCCGGCCCCGCCCCCACUCCUCUGAAUUCGCCUCAGCGAAGCUGAAUGUCAACACGGCGGCCAUUUUGAGGGCGUGAUAACGUUGCUCGUCGUUAUUUUUCGUUUGUUUUCUUGCUCCGCGUCGACACUGAUACUGAAUCCUCAUUACAGCAAUAUGGAGCCGAAACAACCAUGUCGACUCUUCCCUGGUUUGAUGCCCUCAGCCCACCUUUUACACCCUCCUCUUAGUGAACUGAGGUUUAAAAUCAUUCUAUAAAUCUGUAACAGCAGCUGAGAGAUAAAACCUGUUGGUGUGGCCACACGCAUUAAGCACGUUUAUUAGGAGCAAAGCAAGGUGCAUGCGGUUCUUCCCUUUUUAUGUCUUUGUUUUGACUUUUAUAAUCUCACGUCCAAGCCUAUUUUAUCCUCACAACAACCCUGUGAGGUAGGUGAGGCUGAGAGUGACUGGCGCCAAGGAUCACACACAGAGCUUCAUGGCCAAAGCAUGUAUAUGAACCCUGGUCUCCCAGGACUUGGCUGAUGACACUCUAUAACCACACCACACCACGCUGACUUUUAAAUUUACAUUAAAAAGAGAAAAAUGCUUCUCCCCCUCUCCAUUUUCCUCACAGCAACCCUGUGAGGUAGAUUAAAACUUGACAUUAUGGACUUCCUCAUGGCUAAAUGCAGAUUUGAACCAGGUCUCCCUGACACUCUUAACCACUGCACAACAAAGCCUCUCCAUUUUAUGCACAUUUAUGUUCAGAUCGGCCUUUAGCCCAAUCCAACAGGCUCUUCUGUUGUCCUUAUUUGCCAUGGGCCUCUGCCCCAUAGAAGGCAGCUGCACCUACUGCCGAGUAAACACACUUAGGAUUCAUGAGGCGUCAAAUGCCAAGAGGAGGAGGAGACUUUUAAAGUCUGCCCUCCAUAUGUUGUGCAUACAAUGGAAAAAUCUCUGUUGGUGGAGGCCUGUAUAUGUGGGCAUCCUGCCUUUCCUGUAUCUUAAUACUCAUUUAUUAUAUAUAUUUAUAAAAUCUCAUUACAUCUUUGUUAGGCACUUUAGUGAUGCAGUGGUUGUAAGCACCAGUCUAAGACUCAGGGAGACCAGGGUUCAAAUCACCACUCCACAAAACCGAUAUUGGCUCUUGGCCCAGCUCCACAGGGUUGUUUUGGGUCUCGAAACAUGGAGGUGGCCAUGCAGCCUGGCUUGUGCUCUUGAAACAAAGGAAACAAAGGCUAGAUAGACAAAACCCAGCAAAGCUAGGUUGUGAAAACUAAUUCAAAAAGGUUAAUAUAGUCUUGCAAACUUGUUGCAGAGAGGAAGUCAGUUUGGCAUUUUGUAGCUAAGUUAGGGAUGAAUGCAGAAAGGCAAUGGGACUGCUUCUCACUCCAGUAUACAAUUACUGUAUGUACAUGGGAACAGGCCAACUUGCGCAACCCUAGUUUCUUAAUUUACAGAAUCACCUGGGUUGAGCUGGCACUGACAGGAAGGCCACCUUAACAAAAGGAUGAAGAAAGGAGCAGUAAGAAGUGUAAUUAAUUAUUUCUGGAAAGCAUUAAUUUUGCAAGGAAAUGCUAAUUUAACACCACAGCUUUGCAGAGAACACACAUUUAAAACGAGCACGUUAUUUCCAUUCUGUUUAAUGGUGCCAGGAACUAUGUUUUGUGCUUAUUAUGACUGUUGGCCAGCGGAAGGAGCAGCCAACACAAGUGAGUGAGACUGUCCCUGGCUAUAAAUAGAGGUCUCCGCCCCUCUCUUGUCAGAGGUGUAGGGAGCGCCAGGCAGAUAGGAUUUAUUCUGGUGAUUGGGAGGAGAAGAGAAAAUGGGUUUAAAAAGGAAAAUAAUAACAUAGAUGAGUUGCUUUUUAAACUAUAACUAAUAUUUUUCAUAGUAAAAUGAGAAUUUUAUGCUACUAAAAUAUUAACUAUAGUUUAUAUUUUUUAUUAAAAAGAUUGGAGUUAAUAAGGCAUCUGAUCCUAAAAAUCAUUAGGACAGGCAAUAAUUUAAUUAAAAAGAGAAUGGAAAGCAAACAGAAGACUGAAGAAGAACUAAACCUUAAAAAAAAACAGGGGAAAUGGUUAAUUGUUGGCAGAUUAUGGGCUUUUAAAAGUCCCAGAAGAAAAGGCAGGUAAACAAAACUUAACUGAAAACUAAGAAAAAUAUAAAGACGAAGAUUUUAAAGAAAAUCAAGAAAAAGAAAAUAUUUGAAGAUAGAAAUAAAAGAAGAUAGAGGGGGAGCUAUAUUUACAUUUCAAACUAAUUGAGGACUAGUUUUUAAUGUAAAAGUAGAUGGCUCUGAAGUCUGCUUCAAGCAGAGUGCAAAAUGAAGAGAAGAUGGCAGGCUUUUGUUUUAAAAAGCAACUAGAGAGAGGCCUUUCCAUCUGAAGAAAGGGUUAGGCUUUUGUUGCUGAAGGUAGAAAAACCAAGACUGGGAAGACUUGGAAGAGAGGAAGGAGCCAUAGAAGGGUAGAAGGCAACUUAGAAGAGGAUCCAGGAAGAGAGAAAAGGGAGGGAAGGAAAAGGAGCAAAAUCUGUAACAACUGUGUCUGAAAAGGAUAGCAAAGAGGAAGGAGGAGAUGAAAAGGACAGAGAUUUGUAAUUGUUUGCAGCCAUUUUGUGGCGGCUUCUCCUCAAGGACUUUGUGAAAGAUGUUCUUUUUCAAAGGGAUGCAGUGGGAAGGAUUUCCUUAAAAUAUAAGGUGUCAAGGACUAAAAUAAGCAUCUGAUACACCAGCCUUAAAAUGGGUUGGCAUCUGACACCUAAUUCUGAAGUUAGGAAGAGUCGUUCCAGCAGCCAGUGCAAAUUGGUGAAGCUAGAAAAGAUACCGAAAGCAUUGAGAAAAAAAGCAAGAAAACUCCUGAGGGAAGAGCCUUACUUAGCUUUAGAUCAAGAAUGAAGGAGCAAAUAUGUGGUGAAGACGGUGAACUUCUCGGUAGUUGGUAACCUAAUGGGAAGGCUCUGUAUUCUUAGUUUUCCUUGUCAAGGGCUGUUUUGUGGGGUGCGGGGAGCAGGGGUGUUGGUGUUGUAGGUUUCUCUCUUUGCAGGCAUAAUUGCGCCCGUUGUCUGUUGCCGAGAAGCUAUUGCUGAGAAGCUAACAGGCAGUCUGCACGUGCUUCGUUUCCGUCCCACCGGUUCCUGAGGUUAGCGUUUUUUCCAUCCAGCCCCGAGAAUGGUUAGCUAGCAUCUGCAACCCUCCCCAGAAUGAGCGAGUCGAGAACCUGGUGGACAGACAGAACACUGCAGGUAGCAGCAGCAAAAGCACCCACAGAAAAAGGGGUGAGAGAAACCAGCCUGUUGGACUCCUGUUGCGGGCCUCCGGUCGAGGGAGGAGGGUAGGCACCAAAAUCUUGUUUAGUUUUUGUCCCUUCAGGUGUGUUUGUGAAUGUAGAUCUAGAGGAUUCCCAAUGUUCCAGUCUUGAUAAUUAACUUAAAGCAAAAAAGGAAGGAAGCCUGUUGAGAAUGAUUCCAGUGUGGGGGAAAACAGGAGCCUUUUUGAGGAACAUCCUGCUGAUGGCAGCGCUUAGCAAAAGAGGUGGCCACCUCAUGGCACCUGGGAAGGAGCAGCAGUCACUGGAGAGGAGCUUUUGCUUAGAGCAAUGUCCAGUCGAGGAUCCUGCCGGGUCAAAUUGCAUGUUUUCUCUUUGGAAAGUGCUAAGUAUACAACCUUCUUGACAAUCAAUCAUGCUAGCCUUGAUGGGGGGAGUGGGGAAUGCACUGGGGAGAGGGAUAAACACCCGCUUCAUUCUAGCCUCUUUGCAGGUACUGUAGCGUCCCCAGGUGGCUUGGUUUAGAACUGUAGUCCUGCAGUAUUGUGGCAAGGUUACCACCCCAGAGGCUGGAGCUCUCUUUGCCUAGGAAGAAAGGACAGUGCUUAAAGUUGGCGUUUGUGCUGGAGCCCUGGUCGUUCAGCCACUCCUUUCGGAAGAGCUGGGAACUUGAAAGCUAAGUUUUCCUUAGGGGGCUAAAAAGCAGAGAAUUCUCCAGCGUCAGUGUGUAAUGUGGAAGGGGCUGUCUGGUUGGACGGGGGCGGGGCGGGUUUUAGGGAGGGCAUGGGGGAUGAUAACUUGUUUUCGGAUUCUUUUCCCAGGAUAAUCGUAACAUUAGGCCUGGAAAAAAAAUAAGAUUAUUAAGCUUCUAGACUGGCAAGUACUUCUUGAAAUAUUCAGAAAAGACUUUCCUUCCAAGUAACGGCCAAUACUCAUGGAAAGGUCUCUGUGAAUCCCUUGGGUCCAAAAUGAACAGAGCUGCUUCUCUUGCAUUCCCUCUAAAGGGCCGGAGAAGAAAACAACUUGCAGAUAUGGAGGGUCUUUGCGGGGGAGACCUGCUUAGCUAAGAGUUGGCAGGGGUGGGGUUGAACUCUUCAUGCCUUUAGUGGUUUGUGGUUUUCUUUUGGCAUUUUUUGCAGGUGCUUAAUAUGUCUUAAUGCCACUGUAGAGGCUUCAGGGAGAAAGGAGGAGCUUAAUGAUCCUGGUGUGGGAUUCCUUCUGAUGGUAGCUUGUAUAAUUUUUCCAAGUAAGAUUCUGCUUUUGAUUGCUUUGUCUUGUGUAUGAGUUCCAAGUCUAGGAAUUAUUUGCAUUGAUGAACAUUCUUGCGUAAUGAAUUCUGUAACAUACUGAAAACAAUUCAACGUUAACAAUGACAAGACUUAAACAGCUCAUGUAAGCAGAUUAAUGAUUAAGUCAUACCAUUAAAACGGAAAAAAAGAUUGUCUAAUGCUCAUAGUUCGAUAUGUGUCUAUGUCUUCUACGGGCGGUGGGGGGGCUUGGUAGGGAAACAUUUCUUGUCUAGCCCUUUUUCAGAUCCGUCUUCAGAAUACUAGCCUCAAGGAGCCUGAGAAAUACAAGGCCUCAUAAGCAGAGGGAGCAGCUUCUUGGUGGAGGAUAAGUAAAGGCAGAACCAUCCUAUGCUAUUACUCCUUUGAUUGAUGGAAAAAGUCCCAGAUGUUAAACAAGUGAAAGUCCAGUGCCAACCAAGGGGGGAAAACCCACAAGGUCAUAAGCAAUGAAGCAGGCAGAUUGGAAGUGUGUGGAUUGAGUGUGAAAUGCCAUGAUGAUAUUCUGUGAAAUUCCCAAAAUCAAUGCAAUGAGGAGGAGGAGGAGGAGUUGGCAUUAAAGCAGUGAGAGAGAUCCCACUUCUUCAGUGUGGGAGCAAAAUUGAAAGAGAAUCUUCAGGGGAGCGGCAAAUAAGCUUUCUACCAAAGUGUGAUGCCCAUUCUUUGAUACGCAAUAUUGCUAAAUCUUAAUGGAAUUGGAAGAGAGAAUAAUGCGAUGUUGAAAUAUUCCUAAAUCUAAAUGGAAACGAAGAGAGAAUAAUGCAAAGCCACGCUAGUGUUGGAUCAAACGUGUGUUGGAGAGGAGAGGAGGCGCCUUGUGCUGUUGUCCUUCUUUACCUCAGACAGGUGCUCGGCACUCCUAAGGAGAGGAAAUGUGCUUCGUUCCAUCGGGGAGCUGUAUAAGCGAGCAGGCAUCUGUUACAGAUAAGUUUUACCUAUUCUGCCAGAAUUGCAUGUCAGAAAGGUGGGUGGCUUAAUCUUUCCAAGUUGUGGUAGGUGCCGGAGUCAUUUGGAUCAGCCCUACUGGCUGCUUGCUAACUACGCUUCUUGCUGGGUUGCCUGUGGCCCCCAGUUGCCCUCAAAGGGGGAGCUACAGCUCUACUAAUCUGAUGAUCAUGCUUUCUGUUAUUUCCUGGGUGUCUGGGCCUCGCCUUGCCCACUUGAUAGGAGCAGACCACUAUAGGUGGCGCAUCCCUGCCCUUUAGAGGGUGUAUUCAAUGCCAGUCCAAUCGCAGAAGCAUGCAGCAGAGAGCAAAGUAAUGGUAGCAUUCAAAGCACUUGUGCAAGACCUGCUAGAGGUGGCACAUUAAUACACUUGCAAUAAAAUGACCAAAGUACUCCAAGAAUAGGAAGUUGUCGUCUUUGUUCUUAAAUAAACCAUGCUGCUGUUGAUGUUGCUGUUGUUUGUGAAUCGCUCUCGGGUUGUUUGGUGGGGGUAGGGGGGCAUUCUUGUUGUUCUUUCAGACUCUUUCUCCGUGAACACCCCCGUCUUGAUUGGACAAGCACAGAAAUUGAACGGAAGACUGGUUCUCUAAAUCAGGCAGGAAAUCUUUGCAGCCUAUUUUUCCUCCUUUCCCCAUUCCACUGAGGCAGAUGGUAGAUCCAGGCACUUGGCAUACAGAGGUCUUGUAACUAAGGAAUAUGAUUUGACCAAGGGAGGAGUUCUAAAAUGCUUAAAACUAGACCAGUGGGGGAAAAAACUUAGCGGUUUGGGGUAAGUAAAUGCCUAAGUUCACAUCUUGCAGCUGAAGAAGCUGUGUUCUUCCCAGAACUUGAGCCUUGGCAAUUUUACCAGGCAAAAAUCCAGACACAGGAGGAGGAGGACAGAAUUAGUACAAGUGUGUACGUCUGUGUACUUUAAACCAAAGAUUAACACUUGUCGGUCUUGCCUAGCCUUGCCUAUGUAGAAACUUGCAUGCCCCUUUGAUAUGCUUGCCAUCCAUCUCCUGUAGUGCUAGCGCUCUCAUCUCUUUCCAGUUAACAACAUGCAGGGCUGGGCUGAGGGGGGUGAUAUGGGGGCAACUGUUUCAGUGUCUUGUUUCAGAGGCUUCAUCUCAUAAUGCCUAGACCCUAACGCACCAUUUGUGAAGCUGCUCAGGAUGAUGACUCUCUCCUGUUGCCACAUUCUCUGUGCGCAUGUGAAGGCCUUUGCAGUGAGUUGACUGACGCUCGUACACUUAACAGCUGUUCUGACUUGAUCACCUUGGGGGUGGUGGGAGGGGCUCACAUUGUCCCAGCUCUUCUUUUUUGCAGACUUCACAGAGAGAAGCGUGUCUGAAGCAGAUCUGUUCAGUUGGCAAGUAAUAAAUGAUGGCAGUGUGCUUGAUCUGCUUGCGUAGAAAAUAUGAAUCUGCCUCCUUUCCCUUGUGUGGAGUAGUGAUUGUUGAAGGAGAAAUAAAUCGCUGAGUGACAAAAUGCCUGUGGUUUGAAAGGAGCUCUUGAAUCCGAUGUCCAGUAAAAACCCUGCCGUGUAAACGCUCGUUGUAUGACUGAGAGACACGUGCAUUUUGACUGUGCUGCUUUAGGUAACCUGCUGUUUUGUUCUUCUUUGGCUGCUGGGGGAGGGGGCGAGGGUACUGAAGCCUUUAAGUCUCUUCCAGAUGCAUCUUCACAUCUCACAGACACCAGAAAUAAAACCCUUCCAACCCAACAAACCAUCAAGAAGCGAACUUCACAUUCCACCAGUUAGUGGUCGUAUUUUCCGUGCAAUGCUUUUGUGUGGGUCUCUCCUUUUUCAGUUUCCUCACAGUUUUGAGCAACAGCACACAACACCCCAAUAAAGCCAGCUCUCCUCGAGGAGCCACAGAAGUCAUGGCAGUAAGAAACAGUUGUGGUCAAAGCACUUUUGCAUGGGAUGAGUGGGAGGGGGCUGGUGACAAACCAGUGUCUCUAGAUUGCUUUUCACAGACCAGUAGAAGGAACUGCCAGACACAAGAAUUCACACUUCAAUGGACAAAAGAACAGGUGAACCACAUUUUCUCUCUUUUCACAGCAGGAAUCAUGAAGCCAGAAUGUUAAGAGACUGGGAAGUUUUUAAUGCAUCUUCCCCUUCUGCCUCUGUAGGUUCAGCUUCAUGCUGAAACCCCAAUCACAAUGGGAGUAAAUACUGUAUGUAAAUUCCAUCCUUAACGGAUGCUUGAGGCAAUGGUGGGUUGAGACCCGAUAAGCUUUAACAGCCGAAAGGGAUCCCCACUGAAAGAGGAGCUUCAUGCUCCGAAGCCUCUCCAGACACCUUGUAAUGCCUAGUUGGAGUGGAGGCAGAACUAAUGGCAAAGAAUUGAAGAACCUCCUGAGAAGACUGGCUUGCCCAGUGUCAUUGGCAGGAUGGGGCCCUUUGUGAUAACUCUGCAAUGGGCUGGCAGAAUUGCCACCAGACUAUAAGGUGUCUGUGGCCAUGGUGGUGCUAACACUGAAUCGUGGCCAUCUUUCAGUUUUUUAAGUCAUUGACUUGACAAGUGCUUUAAGAGGUUUUGUGGGGGGUGGGAUUAUGCCGCAACCCGCUUUUCUGCUAAGAAUCUUCCAGGAACAGCUAUUGCGCACAUAACUCAGCCAACACAAAGCGUUGACUCCAUACUAAAGCUUGGAUCCUCUCCAGUACUUCUGUUCUCAAGGUAAUCCCUUAAAAUACCAAUUUCAAAACCAGAGCUAGCAAUCGGCUUGUUUGGCCAGUAACCUCUCACUCCAAAGCUAACAUCGCAGUUGAAGGAAGGUAACUACUGAAACCCUUGACGUUAUCCGAGAGCAAAAUACUGAUGAUAUGACAGGCACAGACUCUGAACAAGUAAACAUCUAAGUGCUGUAUGAUAAAAGCAGUAACCAGCGGUUGUACGUGUUGUGAUCGUGAGACAUAAUGGGUGGGUACCAUGUGCUUGGCUAGGCAGAUUUCCAGUUGUGAUCCACAGAGUGGCAUUGGGGAGGGUGUUGCAACUCUUGUGCUAAGACUCUUUCAGGUCGCAGUAAGGGAGUAGUCAGAAGCGGAAGCUUUAUGAAGCAGAUUCCUUCAAAUCUCCAAAUCUCUCUUAAGGUUUUUCUUUUCCUGAGAGAACAAUCUUGUGUUUUCUCAGGUUUUGCUUUUCACCUUGCUGCAUUACAAAAAAAAAAAAAGCAAAAGACACUGGUGGUCGGCACUCCUGGUUUCCAGGAUGGGGUUCAAGUCCCUGCGGUGUCCUUGCUUGCUUCCAAUGCAACUCCUAUAUGUUUCAUCUCUUUCUUUUCCUUCACUGCCUUAAUUGCAUUCCAUCCUCUAAAGCCUAAAUGUUGUAUGAUUUUACUGAGGUUUGAUCAGUGAUAACUAGGAUUUGAAACCUAACAACUGAUGCAGCUUGGCUUUUGCUGUGAAGCUGCUUCCCUAAUGUCUUGGUAGGCUGUAUCAUGUGGACCGUUCUCAACCUAACUUUCCAUCCACUGGUAAGAUGAAGACUGAUUCUGUUUAAGAAGAUUCCACAUGCAUCUGGUCUAUUUGAAUUCCAGAUGCUACUGGGAGCAUCUGGUAGGGGGAGUGGCAAGUUUUCUGUAGAGGUAACAGCAAAGUUUCCUUAAAUGGGAAAUUUAUGCAGAGAUUGGUAUGCAGUUCUAACCUGUGCUUUUCUUUAAGAAAAAGUGUCGGUACUCACCAUGAAGUUGUUAUAUGCCACAGUUUUAAACAGUACUUCUCUAGAAAAAGGAGGUGCCAGUACAGUAUACCCUUGAGUACCCCCAGAAAAAAACACUGGUUCUAACAGUGCCUGAAUAAUAGUUUACCAGUCCCCCACAAUAUUCUUGCGGAGAAACUGGUAACGUGGGCUAGAAAAUGUUACUGUUAGGUGGUUUUGUAGCUGGGUUGACUGAGCAUACCCAAAGUGUGCUCACCAAAUGGUUCCUUGUUAUCCUGGAAGAAAAUGACAAGUAGGGUGCUGCAGUGUUCUUUUGUGGGCUGAUGUUCAACAUCUUUAUAAAUGACUUGGAUGAAGCAAUAUAGGGGAUGCCUAUCAAAUUUGAAGAUGACACCAAAGUAGGGGUAGCUAAUAUCUCAGAAGAUAAGAGAAAACUGAAUCCUGAUUCAUAACAGAUUGAGCAACAGGACCAAAACUUAACAUAAACAAUUUCAACUGAAAUAAUUUCAGUAAUUACAAAAUUUUAGGGUUCUAUAAUUAGGCUGGAAUACAGUAUGGGAUACAACUGGCUUGACAGGGAGUACACAUGAAAAGGAUCUGUGUCUUAAUAGACCACGUGCUUAACAUGAGUCAACAGUGUGAUGUAGCAACAAAAAGCUAAUGCAGUUCUUGACUGCAUUAACAAACGUAGUGUCUAGAUCAAGGGAUUCUAUUCUACCUUAGUCAGACCCUACCUGGAGUCUUGUGUCCAGUUCUGGAUACCACAGUUUAAGAUCAAUAUUGGCAAGCUGGAACAUGUGCAGAGGAGGGUGACCAAGAUGAUCUUGAAACCAAACCUUUAUGGGAGUUGGGGAUGUUUAGCUUGCAGAGAGGAUAAGGUGGCAUAAGUUUAUUGAGGAAUAGCCAUGAACAUAGGCUUCCAGAGUAACUGCUAACUCAUUUAUCCUAACAGGCCAGCAUGGGUGUUCCUGCUGCAAAUGACAAAUAAGAUGAGUGGCCUUACAGCAGACAAAAUGAAUGCUAGAGUUGGAAGCAACCCUGAGGAUCAUCUAGUCCAACUCGCACCCCCCAUGCAGGAAUAUGCAGCUGUCCCAUACAGGGGUCAAACUUUCAACCUUAUCAUUAUUAGUACUAUGCUCUAACCAACUGUGCUAUGCAGACCUGUUAAUGUCUUUGCAUUGUUUGGUGUGGGAGGAAAAUUUAGUGUCUUUGGUUGCUUUGGUUACAGUGGGCCAGAUGAAAAUUGGGGGUUGGUGUCCAAGUAUCUGCUUCAGGCUGUCCUUUAGUUUUCACCACACAUUUGAAAUGUGCCUUGUGUGUACGUGCCUAUGACAUAAUGUGUGUUACCGCUUUGAAAUAAAAUUGGAAUAAAUUCUUA